GUACUGCCGACGCAGCGCUGGGGGGUGCCCAGCCUUGGCAUUCUCCCGCAGCAGCUGGCUGCGCCGGCGGAUAUACUGCGUCCGAAACUGUGGAAACGUUGGUGGGCAUGCCCACGCAGCCGCAUAAGGCAAGUUCUCCGCCCAGCCUCACUUAUCGCCAUUGCGCAUGCACCACGCUCCAGGCAAGAUGGCUGCCUGCUAUCAGAAAGAACUGCCGAGCCCAGAGCGAAUCGAUAGGCAUCCUUCCCAGGGCGUGGGAGUCUCGCAGGCGCAU
rnacentral:lncRNA from 1 species